CUUCGGCACCAGCUUUGAUGUCAGGGAGUUAAGCCGAGCUGAGUUAAGCAACCCACACUGUUUUACUCCACAAACAGCCAUACAGGUAAGAUUCAGAAAGCUGCCCCAACUCGUUUUCUGCUUUGCUCUGGACUAUAAAGCCAGGCCUCCAGCUGCAUGAGUCACAGGACUGUCUGGUCUCCGAGACCGAAGGUCGUCUUGGAAGAGAUGACAGUGACAUCUUUGGCUAAGGAUGCUGGGAAAAGCUCACCGCGUUGUCACUGCUACGGCCCCCAACAAUCAGUUGAGCAGCCUUCUGGAGACUUUUUUCAGAGCUGUCUCUUAGCUUAGCUCAUGAAUUCCCUUUUGACUGCAGGCCUAAGAGGAAAGGCCAGCAGUAAUAGAGGCUUUGCCAGCCUGAGGAGGUGUGCAUAAACUCACCUCCCCCAUGCCUGCAUGACGUAAGCCUUCUUAGAGGAGCAUGAGAGGCUGCAGCAAAGAGGAGAGCAGAUGGAUUUUGUUUGGCUUCUCAGAGCUUCAGAUCUGAAACAACCUUAACAGCCAACAUGGGGCCGGGGGUGGAGACACAGAGACACAAACGUGAUGUCAGGACAAGGACAAUGCAGUUCCAUCAGGUAUACGCAUCACUGGAAAAGGAUGUGCAGCCCCUUAAGGAAAGCAUGCAUUAGGUAUUGAUGAAGAAUAAUCUACAAGCUGUACUAUUUAUUAAGAAUAAAAGUGAAGAUCAAAGCAGAA
rnacentral:lncRNA from 1 species